rnacentral:rRNA from 1 species
GAUGAACGCUGGCGGCGUGCCUAACACAUGCAAGUCGAACGGAGUCGUUUUGGAAAAUCCUUCGGGAUUGGAAUUCUCGACUUAGUGGCGGACGGGUGAGUAACGCGUGAGCAAUCUGCCUUUAAGAGGGGGAUAACAGUCGGAAACGGCUGCUAAUACCGCAUAAAGCAUCAAAUUCGCAUGUUUUUGAUGCCAAAGGAGCAAUCCGCUUUUAGAUGAGCUCGCGUCUGAUUAGCUAGUUGGCGGGGUAACGGCCCACCAAGGCGACGAUCAGUAGCCGGACUGAGAGGUUGAACGGCCACAUUGGGACUGAGACACGGCCCAGACUCCUACGGGAGGCAGCAGUGGGGAAUAUUGCGCAAUGGGGGAAACCCUGACGCAGCAACGCCGCGUGAUUGAAGAAGGCCUUCGGGUUGUAAAGAUCUUUAAUCAGGGACGAAACAAAUGACGGUAC